rnacentral:rRNA from 1 species
GAUGAACGCUGGCGGCGUGCUUAACACAUGCAAGUCGAACGAAGCACUUUUAUUUGAUUUCUUCGGAAUGAAGAUUUUAGUGACUGAGUGGCGGACGGGUGAGUAACGCGUGGGUAACCUGCCUCAUACCGGGGGAUAACAGUUAGAAAUGACUGCUAAUACCGCAUAAGACCACAGCACCGCAUGGUGCAGAGGUAAAAACUUCGGUGGUAUGAGAUGGACCCGCGUCUGAUUAGGUAGUUGGUGGGGUAACGGCCUACCAAGCCGACGAUCAGUAGCCGACCUGAGAGGGUGACCGGCCACAUUGGGACUGAGACACGGCCCAAACUCCUACGGGAGGCAGCAGUGGGGAAUAUUGCACAAUGGGGGAAACCCUGAUGCAGCGACGUCGCGUGAGCGAUGAAGUAUUUCGGUAUGUAAAGCUCUAUCAGCAGGGAAGAAAAUGACGGUACCUGACUAAGAAGCACCGGCUAAAUACGUGCCAGCCGCCGCAGUAA